rnacentral:rRNA from 1 species
UCGCGGUAACACGUAGAAGACUAGUGUUAUUCAUCUUUAUUAGGUUUAAAGGGUACCUAGACGGAAAAUCAAGCCAUAAUAGGGACUAAUUUUCUAGAGUUUUAUGAGAGAAGGGGUGAAUUUCCGGAGGAAAGUUGAUAUUUAGUGAUACUGGAAGGACGGGUAACGGCGAAGGCAACCUUGUAUGUAAAAACUGACGUUGAGGGACGAAGCCUUGGGUAACGAGAAGGAUUAGAUACCCUAGUAGUCCUUGGAGACAAUUAUGAAUGUCAUAGGCUAGAUAAUUUAGCCUAUAAAUGAAAGUGUAAGCAUUCCACCUCAUGAGUAAAGCGGCAACGCCCAAAUUGAAAUCAUUAGACCGUUUCUGAAACCAGUANUGAAGUAUGUUAUUUAAUUCGAUGAUCCGCGAAUAACCUUACCACAAUAUGCAUUGAAUAUUAUUCAAUUAUUACAAGCGCUGCACGGCUGUCUUCAGUUAAUGUCGUGAGAUUUUGGUUCGUUCCUUUAAUUAACGAAAACCCUUGCUUUAUUUGUUUUUAUAAA